ACGGAAGGUCCAGGCGUUAUCCGGAUUUAUUGGGUUUAAAGGGAGCGCAGGCGGACUCUUAAGUCAGUUGUGAAAUACGGCGGCUCAACCGUCGGACUGCAGUUGAUACUGGGAGUCUUGAGUGCACACAGGGAUGCUGGAAUUCAUGGUGUAGCGGUGAAAUGCUCAGAUAUCAUGAAGAACUCCGAUCGCGAAGGCAGGUAUCCGGGGUGCAACUGACGCUGAGGCUCGAAAGUGCGGGUAUCAAACGGGAUUAGAUACCCUGGUAGUCCGCACAGUAAACGAUGAAUACUCGCGGUUGGCGAUAUACUGUCAGCCGCCAAGCGAAAGCGUUAAGUAUUCCACCUGGGGAGUACGCCGGCAACGGUG
rnacentral:rRNA from 1 species